UUCUUUAAUAUAUUUGCAAUUUUAUCAUUAAAAAUAUAUACAAAUAAAUAAAACAAAAUACAAACACACACACACACUUUCACUAUUUUUAUUCUUUUCUUUUCUUUUUCUUUUCUUUUACAUCCACAAAAUACAAAUACAAAUACAAAUUCAAAAUAAAUAAAUAAAAAUACACCAACACACACAUCCCCUUUGUUAUUAUUAUUUUCUUUUCUUUUCUUCUUUUUUUUCUUUUACAUCCAAAUACAAAUACAACUUCAAAUUCAAAAUAAACAAAUAAAAAUUACAUUAAUUAAUUUAAAAAUUACAAAAACAGUCCCUAAAAUUCUAAAAAAUUUCAGGGAAGGACUUCUGCAGCCGGAACAGUGUUCGUCAUGGUUUCUGGGCUCGGGAACAGUGGGGGCGCGUGGAUCUCACCCGCCACCACCACUGGCGGCGCGUGGGUCCACGCGCCGCCACAGAAAAUAAAACAGCAACAGGGGGUCUGGAUCGCCUUCUUCCCCUCUUCCUUCGUCGCCGGCGAUAACCUGCAAAGCAAACCCCCAACACAACAAGCAGUUGAUUUUAUUUUUUUUGUCUUAGAUCUGCUUUUAAUUUUUUUGUUUUCUCCGAUCUGUUCCUUCUCCUUCUCUUCUUCUCGGCUUCGGAUCUGCUCCUUCUACAGAUCGGUUCUGUUAUGGGUUUCUUCUUUUCUCCGGUGGUAGAUCGGUCGGGAGGAGCAGCUGUCCGUGGUCGCUGGGUUUCGUCUUCUUCUCCUCUGCUUCGGGUGGCAGAUCGGGCGGUGGCUCCGUGGCUGCUGAAGCUGUGGUUCUGUGGCCGGUUGAAGGCAGUGGAACAGGCGAAAGUGUUACCCCGGCGCUGCUGUUCUUCCGCCGCUGAAGAAGGAAAUCGAAGGGGAAACCGCCGUGGUUGAGGAGGGUGAGGGGGAGUGAGCGGCUGUGCAAGGGCUGAGCCCUUGACUAACGAAAAGAAAGAAAAAAAAUGAUGAGUGAGGGGGUGGCGGCCGGUUCUCCUGAGGAAGAAGAAAAGGAUGGUGGCCGGCGGCUGGAGUGGUUGAGGCUGGGGCGAGGAAAAAAAAAAUUAUAUAUAUAUGCCGGGGAAGGGGGCUGCCGAUUGAGUGAGAAGAGAAAAAAAGAAAAAAAAAAAUUUCAAAAGGUGAGGUGGGGUGAGCGGCUUGGUUCAGCGGCUGCAAAGGAAAAAACUUUUAGGUUUAGGGUUUUUUGGUUCUUGUGUUGUCUUUCCCACCAAUCUCAAAAUUACCCCCCCCAUUUGUUUGAGUUAAAGACCAGUAUUUAUAGGUAAAAAAUGUUGCUAGGUUUUUCAACUUGGUCCCUCAAUUUCUUUCUUUUUGUAAAUUUUGAUUUUUCUUAUUUUUUUGUAUUUUUGAAAACGAGCAAUAUCAACGUCGACUCAAAAUGCGGAAAAUCAAUGAUUUUAAAAAUGACGCGUGAAAAUUCGAACGCGUUUGAAAAUAUUUUAACAAUUUAAAUUUUUUUUUAGACGCCGUUGAAAAUGCUAAAAUGACGAAAAUAUAUUAAAAAAAUAUUUUUUGGAUUUUCUUUGUUUUUCUCAAUUUUUUGGAUUUUUUGAAAAUAUAUCAAAAAGAUGGGUCAAAAAUUGGGUAGCAACAGAUGCCCCCUCUUUACAAUGCUUACGAAGCGAAAAUCCUCAAAAUUUUGCAUAGUAAGCUUUGUAAAGAAAACAAAAGGAAGAUGAUUUCAUUAUCUUGGGCGACCUGCCCACACACUCACACUGAUUUAUUUUCACAGGCGACCUGCCCACACAUACUCACUCUAGUCUAUUUUCACGGGUGACCGACCCACACUCUCCCAAUAGUCUAUUUUCACGGGCGACCUGCCCACACAUUGGGUUUACCUGAGAUCCCAUCUGGCGACCUCAUUCAACUGGAAUGAAAAUAUUGUGUAACUCGGUUAACCUGAAAUCCCAUCUGGCCAUUCCCUUUAACCAAAGCUACAUGAGAUCCCAUCUGGCGACCUCAUUCAAUUGGAACGAAAUAUGUGUAACUCGAUUAACCUGAAAUCCCAUCUGACGAUUCCCUUUAACCAAAGCUACAUGAGAUCCCAUCUGGCGACCUCAUUCUGGUCUCAUUGUACGGGUGACUAACCCUCAAAAAAUGCUGGUCUCAUUGUACGGGUGACGAACCCUAGUGCUGCUGGUCUCAUUAUACAGGUGACGAACCCUAGUGCUGGUCUCAUUGUACGGGUGACGAACCCUAGUGCUGGUUCAUUGUACGGGUGACGAACCCUAGAAAAAUGCUGGUCUCAUUGUACGGGUGACGAACCCUAGUUGCUGGUCUCAUUGUACGGGUGACGAACCCUAGAAAAUGAUGGUCUCAUUGUACGGGUGACGAACCCAGAAAAUAUGAUGGUCUCAUUGUAUGGGUGACGAACCCAGAAAAAAUGUGAAGUGCGAUCUCAUUGUAUGGGUGACCUACCCGUGGAAAAAAUAUGAAGUGGUCUCAUUGUAAUGGGUGACCUACCCAGAUGGAAAAAUAUGAAGUGGUCUCAUUGUAUGGGUGACCUACCCAGAUGGAAAAAAUGUGAAGUGUGGUCUCAUUGUAUGGGUGACCUACCCGGAUGGAAAAAAUGUGAAAAGUGUCUCAUUGUAUGGGUGACCUACCCAGAUGGAAAAAAUGUGAACGGUCUUAUUAUGAUGGGCGACCUACCCAGAUGGAAAAAAUGUGAUAUGACAAGUGUGAAAAAUAGGACUUACCUGGCGAAGUUCUGAAGGGAUGACAGAAGAAAGGGCUGGAAAACUUGGUGCUUCCUGAUAAUUCCCGAUCAUGGGGUUUGAAAACUCGGUGUUUCCUGACUGCAAGGGUUGAAAACUCGAGGCUUCCCGGUUGCAAGGUUGAUCUAUUCAUUUCUUUGGGAUUUUCCUAAUGGUAGGGUUCAUCCCAUCGUCCUUUUAUUCCAUGAUCAAAACCGAUUCUUUAUUAUCAUCACCACAAUGCUUCUUUCUCUUUCCACCAUCUUGCUGGACCUCAUUAAGGAUUUUCCUGUAACAAUUCAAAAAUAUGUGCAAAUGGUUUUUUUUUUUUUUUUUUUUUUUUUUGAGGUUAGAUGAUAUGCAUGCAUCCUUACCUGAUUUGAAAUAAUAGGUCCCCCCUCUUUGAUGCUCCAUCGUCAUAGGGUGCCCUUGUUUGUAUCCCAAAGCUUUCUUUGUUCUUUCCGAUGUAUUGGCUCAUUCAUGUGUUAGCCAUCCACUCAGCUGUAAAUGCAGUGCCCAUCCCGGGCUGUCUUCGACAAUUACUGCUUGCAUCGUUCAUGAAGCUUGACCCUGCCCCAAGUGUAGUACUGCUUGAUUCAUCAUGAGAGAUUUUCUCUCCUGGCUUCUUCUGAGAAAUUAUCCUCUGAUUGAUUGUGUGCAUCAUGCCAACACCCAUCACGUUUGUUAAUCAGUCAUGAACUUGCCUUCGGUUGAAACACCAUUCAAGUAUGUAUGGUCACCAGCCUUCAUGGAACUGCCAAGUCAUCCAGACAUGUAUCUCAUGCUUUGCAGUAAACAGCUCAUCAUUGUAAGCGCGAUGUACUUCUCUAUGGAUUCCUCUUAGCUUGUCGAAUCAGAUCGUGAAAAUACCUGCUUUGGCAUCAUCAAUGAUGUUCAUGUUAUCACCCAUAUUCAUGCGGUGAAGUGCGCAUUUGAGCUUCAGAAUAGAUGUCCCACAAUCAGUCUUCGAGGUGGGUGCCUUUCCAACAUUCAUUCAGUGCAGUUGUGUGAUAACAUCUGUCUAUAACCAUGUUUCAAAGAAUGACAAUAUGAGAUUGUCCUUUAAGUGCAGCAUUGUUCCACAGUCAGUCUUGGUGGUAUGCAUCUUUUCUCCAUUCAAUUACAUUCAUCUGUGUAUUCCUCAUCGAUUGCGAGCCAUGUUUCAAAAAUGAUGAUAUGAAAGUGCCUUCAGGUACGUUUUGUUUCUCCAUUGCCGACAGGAUUCACUAAAGCAUGGGCCAUUUUGGAAUGACAUUGCCCCCAGUAUGAUCUGAAUGUGCUCGUUCAUUGAUUAUCUGUCUUUGAACAUCAUUGUCUUCAGUUCACUGAUUCAUCAUUUAAACAUUGCCUCAUAGCUGAUCUGAGCACUGCUUGUUUUUCCUUUUCAAGGUCUACUGUAUUGCCCCGCUGCUCAACUUUUCAAGGAGUGUCGAGGACUUCAAUGUCAUUUCUAUCAACGAUUUUGCAUACUCAAUCAAUGUUCUUCUGUGUUUGAUAAUCUUCCUUGUUCUGGAAUCAACUCUCAUAUUUCAAAGAUCAUGUCUAUUCAAAGUCUAGUUUGUUGAAAUGAAAUCAGAGAUGUCUUUUUUUGAAAAUCUUUUGAAAAUCAAGCUUUUUGAUCAAAGGCCCAACACAUUUUAUUCGAAAUAUAUAGUCCUUUGAUUGUCAUGCAUUUUGAAAACAGAAAUUGACCCAAUGUAGGAUUAAAAAUGGCUUUUUCCAUGGUUCUUUGUAUCAAUUUGAAUCCUUGAUAUUGGGUAUAUCAUUUGAUAGUUUAUGGUGAGGUGACCUUCUGUGAAUUUCAAGGAAAACAACAGGCUCAAGUCAAAACUUGAGGAUUCAUGAAGGAAAAUGUUUUGUUUUUAGCAAUAAUUUUAUCAACAUGCAUAACGACCGGUAACUUAAUUCAUGAAGUCACGACUCUUAUGGAAAAAAAAACUCUUCAAGUUUUGAGAGCGCCAUUUAUCGGUUCAAGUUGCUUGCUUGAUUAAAAAGAGCUUUUAAAAAAACAUGUAAUGCAGGCUAUGGUUCAUGGCUAUGAAAGAAAGGAAUUUCACAGGCUCAAAAGGUGUUUGAGGGUUUCAAAGACCUAGGAUCAACAUCAACUAUUCAUCAACUUGUUUUCUAUUGUUGUCUUUAUAGAGGAAACGACAUAUAACCUUGUUAACCUCAAAGUUCCGACUUUUCUUAACAUAAGUCAUAAUGCAAACCCAACUUUCUUUGAGGAAUAACCAACCUUAAUCAUCUGAUAACAUCAUAGGUUUUAUAACGGAUACCAAAAGUCAACGCUUAUAGCUUAGUCUUUUUUCUGGUAUUGACUUUUGUUGUGCCUUUCCUUGAUUGAAAUUUCUUUUGCUCUUCAUAGACUUGAUAGGCGUUCUCCUUCCUUUAUCUUUGACUUGUAUUUAAGUGAAGGCAAUUUCAACUUCCUUUUUUCAUUCUCUUUUUUUUUUUUCGUAGCCUUCCUCAAAAUUUUCUUAUAUGCCCCCAGUCUAUGUGUUUUCUUUUAGCUCUCUCUCAAUCAUUGGACCUUUGUUCUAAGCCUUCCCCUUUAUCCAUUAAUUAUAUCAAUGUCUCCAAAAUAUCUCUCAUUUGCCCCCAGUGUGGGGUGUGAUCCUAGUCAGGGUUUCUUUUUUUGAAAGAAAAUAUUUUACCAGGCUCAAAAUGGGACUGCAAGGGAUAUAAUCUUUAGAAAGUGAAGGGAUAUCAAAGAUGGCCUUUUCUCAUUUCAAGCAAGGUCGGUUAAACCGAUAAAUUUUGACCUCAUCCAGUGUAAUGAUUGGGACUUGUAAGAAUCAUGAUUCACGAGUCCAUAACUACCGAAUCCACUACAUGUCAUUAUGCAUACUGUAAAACUUAGCUAUAUGAUGUGUGGUUCAGUUUCAAGGUAUGAGUUCAAAAUUGUUUGGUCACCUCAUGUCAUUUUCAUAGAGUCAUUUCUGUAAUCAAAACACUUUAAUCUUCCGGAUUGAUUAACCUUUAUCGCAUGUUGGAGUUUGAUCAAAAUAUUUUGUCAGAAUAAAAUGCUAAACAUCUGUUGAUUUCAAAACAACAAAGAGACAAAAGCAAGGCAUGUUUCGUUGAAGGAUGAGAUGUGAUCCCAAAACAAAAUGCAGAAUUCCAUAACAAUAUGAUUGACUGUUCAUCACCAUUCUCGAAUCAGCUUUUCUGGCAAUAUCUGUGUUUUGCAAAGCAUUUUCGAUCACAUGUCAUUCUGAAGAUGUUCGGGGAACAAUAUAGCCAGUGACACCCUUCUUCAACGACUCCACCUGUCUCUUGCUCACCAACUUUCAGACUCCAUUCUUGCAAUUCUUGAAACUGUUCACUUGAAAUGGUUGAGGACCCCACAUGACAUCACAUCUCUUAUCUGGAUUAUACCACCUAGAAUUUGGUGGUUGCAUGGGAUUUUGUCGGAGUCAAGCAAAAUUCUGGAAUCUGGUAGAUGCUGGUCGACAAACUUAAGUGGCAGGGAAUGUCCCAUCUUGGCAAAGACAUUGAUCAAUUGAUGCUACCGUGAGACCUGACUAUACAUAUAAUUAAGGGCUCACACCGUCAAAGUCAUCUCCUGAUUCACCUCUCAUCAUUGUUCUAGAAUCCAUGGCAGAUCCUUCAAUCUUUCUUCUCUUCAUAGCUUGUUCAAUUCUUCGGCAAAUCCUCACAGCAUUAUUCAAUCUUCCAAUGUUGCUAUGGUUGGUUGAGGAUUGUUAGAAAACUUUCUAACAGCUUGGUAAUCUUUGGCAGCGCCCAGAAACUUGUAGUAUCGCCACUAACCGACGUGUGGAAUCACACAUUGUCUUUAUUGGAGAGCACCUGCUGAAUCUAAAACUCCUUUGUCCCCUCUUCCAUUUCUCACUGACAGUGCAGCAACUUUCAGACUCCAUUCUUACAAUUCUUGAAACUGUUCACUUUGAAAUGGUUGAGGACCCCACCAUGACAUCACAUCUCUUAUCUGGAUUAUACCACCUAGAAUUUGGUGGUUGCAUGGGAUUUGUCGGAGUCAAGCAAAAUUCUGGAAUCUGGUAGAUGCUGGUCGACAAACUUAAGUGGCAGGGGAAUGUCCCAUCUUGGCAAAGACAUUUGAUCAAUUGAUGCUACCGUGAGACCUGACUAUACCAUAUAAUUAAGGGCUCACACCGUCAAAGUCAUCUCCUGAUUCACCUCUCAUCAUUGUUCUAGAAUCCAUGGCAGAUCCUUCAAUCUUUCUUCUCUUCAUAGCUUGUUCAAUUCUUCGGCAAAUCCUCACAGCAUUAUUUCAAUCUUCCAAUGUUGCUAUGGUUGGUUGAGGAUUGUUAGAAAACUUUCUAACAGCUUGGUAAUCUUGGCAGCGCCCAGAAACUUGUAGUAUCGCCACUACCGACGUGUGGAAUCACACAUUGUCUUUAUUGGAAGAGCACCUGCUGAAUCUAAAACUCCUUUGUCCCCUCUUCCAUUUCUCACUGACAGUGCAGCAACUUUCAGACUCCAUUCUUACAAUUCUUGAAACUGUUCACUUGAAAUGGUUGAGGACCCCACCAUGACAUCACAUCUCUUAUCUGGAUUAUACCACCUAGAAUUUGUGGUUGCAUGGGAUUUGUCGGAGUCAAGCAAAUUCUGGAAUCUGGUAGAUGCUGGUCGACAAACUUAAGUGGCAGGGGAAUGUCCCAUCUUGGCAAAGACAUUUGAUCAAUUGAUGCUACCGUGAGACCUGACUAUACCAUAUAAUUAAGGGCUCACACCGUCAAAGUCAUCUCCUGAUUCACCUCUCAUCAUUGUUCUAGAAUCCAUGGCAGAUCCUUCAAUCUUUCUUCUCUUCAUAGCUUGUUCAAUUCUUCGGCAAAUCCUCACAGCAUUAUUUCAAUCUUCCAAUGUUGCUAUGGUUGGUUGAGGAUUGUUAGAAAACUUUCUAACAGCUUGGUAAUCUUGGCAGCGCCCAGAAACUUGUAGUAUCGCCACUACCGACGUGUGGAAUCACACAUUGUCUUUAUUGGAAGAGCACCUGCUGAAUCUAAAACUCCUUUGUCCCCUCUUCCAUUUCUCACUGACAGUGCAGCAACUUUCAGACUCCAUUCUUACAAUUCUUGAAACUGUUCACUUGAAAUGGUUGAGGACCCCACCAUGACAUCACAUCUCUUAUCUGGAUUAUACCACCUAGAAUUUGGUGGUUGCAUGGGAUUUGUCGGAGUCAAGCAAAAUUCUGGAAUCUGGUAGAUGCUGGUCGACAAACUUAAGUGGCAGGGGAAUGUCCCAUCUUGGCAAAGACAUUUGAUCAAUUGAUGCUACCGUGAGACCUGACUAUACCAUAUAAUUAAGGGCUCACACCGUCAAAGUCAUCUCCUGAUUCACCUCUCAUCAUUGUUCUAGAAUCCAUGGCAGAUCCUUCAAUCUUUCUUCUCUUCAUAGCUUGUUCAAUUCUUCGGCAAAUCCUCACAGCAUUAUUUCAAUCUUCCAAUGUUGCUAUGGUUGGUUGAGGAUUGUUAGAAAACUUUCUAACAGCUUGGUAAUCUUGGCAGCGCCCAGAAACUUGUAGUAUCGCCACUACCGACGUGUGGAAUCACACAUUGUCUUUAUUGGAAGAGCACCUGCUGAAUCUAAAACUCCUUUGUCCCCUCUUCCAUUUCUCACUGACAGUGCAGCAAACAAACACCUAUAGAGGAAGUCCUGCUCUGUUGAAGUCUCAGUAUUCUUCAUGUUUUUCAGUCUAGGCAUGUAUCUUCUCUCUACUUUUGCAUUUUAAUACUGACACUGUUGGAGAAAAAUCAUAAAUGAUCUGAAACUACUGUAUUCCUUCUUGGAUUUCCCACUUGCGGAUCCACAAACAGAUUCCUGUCGGGAGAGCUCUGCUACGUUGAAGUUUGAUGUCUGCUCAUAUUUUUCAAACCAAGUCUGGCUCUUCAACCUGCUAUAGUUUCUUCGUGCUGAAACUGAUGAGAGAAAUAUUUGUAGCAUAUGCAAUUAGUAAAUCCCCUCUUGCAUUCCCAAUUUGCAGAGCCAUAAAUGGAUUUUUGUAGAGAGAGCUCUGCCACAUUGAAGUUUGACAACUGCUAAUAUUAUCAGACCAGGUCUGACUCUUCUGCCUACUACAAUGUUUUGCUGGUGCCACUGGUGGGAAAAAGUUUCAAAGCAUAUGAAAUUAAUACAUUCCCUUUUGCAUUUGCCAUUGACAGGUCCACAAAUAAAUCUCUACAGAGAGAGCUCUACCGCGUUGAAAUUCAGUGUCUGAUCAUGAUUUUUUUCAGACCAACAUCUUGUGCUGCUGAACUGGAAUUGAGCUCAUAAUUGGGGUAACUUCAAAGCAGACUAAUGCACCAUGUACAGGAGGCUAAUAGUCGUUUGGUUCCAUUAGAUGAUGUGGAGGCGAUGAACACUUAAGAGUGCAACUGGACAGGAAUCAGAGUUGUCAUUAGUUGAUGACUGAAGGCGUUGUUGCUUUUUUUCAUGACGAAAAAGAAGAGAUGCAACUUCAAUUAGAUGUGAACAAGCAGUGUUCCCACAUAAGACUGUGCAGAUAUUCUCUUUCCAUUUGAUGCUCAACACUUGUUCGAGCAGAUCUGAGUCCCGCUACUUCACCCUUGAUGCUCUCAACCUUAAUCUGAUACUGAACCUAUAUCUGACUCCUUUGUUCACUUCCAUUAUCUUUCUUCAAUCACGCGCAUCACAGCUUGUGCGGGGGACCUACCUUUCAACCCGGUACAUGUAUGUAAUCUAUAUGACGAACUCACCCUUCGAGGGGUGACAAUAUGGUCGUAACUCUUGUAUGAUGGAACAAGAAUCGUGAUUUUUGCCCAAACUCUACAAUGAAAAUUUUCUGAGCAACGGCCAACGUGUCACCCACAAGUCUCGAGUUCAAGAUGCUUCAAGAAGGGUUUGCCCUUAUGCAAAAAACGGUAGCACAUACAACCUAAGGACAGGUUUUAUUCAUUAUGUGAACAUGGGUAAGUUUUCUAUCUGGUCUCAAAAGGGUCUCAUAUCUGCCCAGUGACGUUCUUCGUAAAGACAGUUUGGGGGCGUUGCAAGGAAUGGUUAAGGUACGUAUACCCACCAUUACCAAGCAGGCACUCAGAUAUGAGUUGGGUGUUUCACGCAUCUGAACCCUGACCAAUAGUCUUAGGGCAGAUCGCUAGUUCCCCACCUAACCUAGAAGCUUGUGUGUGCUUUUGAAAAUAAAUACAAGUGAUGCAUGAGACAAUUCUAUAAAAUGCAUGGAAAUAAAUAUUAACCAAAAAGAUAAAAAUGCAAAAACUUAAACACAUCAAAUACACAAAGCUUAGUCCAAUAAUUGAAAAAAUACCGUCCCCAGUGGAGUCGCCAUUCUGUCGCACCCCAAAAAAAAUCAGCGCGCGACAUCGGCUGGCGAUUUUUCGUCUCGUUGUUGUUUGCUUGAAUUUGGUUCGUUGGAGUCGCCACCUAGUAAUUGAUUUCGGGCUACUAGGAAACUGGAUGUACUGGUCUUGUCAGAGAUUCACGGGUAAGGGACUGGUUGUGGUUAGGGAAGGUAUUAGCACCCCUAACGCACCCUACUUGAGGUAAGCUGCUUCGUGGCUUUGACGUGUUAAAGAAGUUUUAAUAAUUGUCUUUUCUUCGGAAAUUAGAAAUAUCACUUACGUAUAAGUUAAUAAUUCUUAACCGUGAUCCGAUCAAAAUAUUAAAUUCUUCUUUAACGUAUUUUCAAUCUCAUCCUUAAAAAUAUAUACAAAUGAAUAAAACAAAAUACAAACACACACAUACACGUGUUAAAGAAGUUUUAAUAAUUGUUUUUUUCAUCGGAAAUUAGAAAUAUCACUUACGUAUAAGUUAAUAAUUCUUAACCGUGAUCCAAUCAAAAUAUUAAAUUCUUCUUUAAUAUAUUUGCAAUUUUAUCAUUAAAAAUAUAUACAAAUAAAUAAAACAAAAUACAAACACACACACACACUUUCACUAUUUUUAUUCUUUUCUUUUCUUUUUCUUUUCUUUUACAUCCACAAAAUACAAAUACAAAUACAAAUUCAAAAUAAAUAAAUAAAAAUACACCAACACACACAUCCCCUUUGUUAUUAUUAUUUUCUUUUCUUUUCUUCUUUUUUUUCUUUUACAUCCAAAUACAAAUACAACUUCAAAUUCAAAAUAAACAAAUAAAAAUUACAUUAAUUAAUUUAAAAAUUACAAAAACAGUCCCUAAAAUUCUAAAAAAUUUCAGGGAAGGACUUCUGCAGCCGGAACAGUGUUCGUUAUGGUUUCUGGGCUCGGGAACAGUGGGGGCGCGUGGAUCUCACCCGCCACCACCACUGGCGGCGCGUGGGUCCACGCGCCGCCACAGAAAAUAAAACAGCAACAGGGGGUCUGGAUCGCCUUCUUCCCCUCUUCCUUCGUCGCCGGCAAUAACCUGCAAAGCAAACCCCCAACACAACAAGCAGUUGAUUUUAUUUUUUUUGUCUUAGAUCUGCUUUUAAUUUUUUUGUUUUCUCCGAUCUGUUCCUUCUCCUUCUCUUCUUCUCGGCUUCGGAUCUGCUCCUUCUACAGAUCGGUUCUGUUAUGGGUUUCUUCUUCUUCUCCGGUGGCAGAUCGGUCGUGGAGGAGCAGCUGUCCGUGGUCGCUGGGUUUCGUCUUCUUCUCCUCUGCUUCGGGUGGCAGAUCGGGCGGUGGCUCCG
rnacentral:lncRNA from 1 species